rnacentral:rRNA from 1 species
UACGGAGGGGGCUAGCGUUGUUCGGAAUUACUGGGCGUAAAGCGCACGUAGGCGGCUUUGUAAGUUAGAGGUGAAAGCCCGGGGCUCAACUCCGGAAUUGCCUUUAAGACUGCAUCGCUAGAAUUGUGGAGAGGUAAGUGGAAUUCCGAGUGUAGAGGUGAGAUUCGUAGAUAUUCGGAAGAACACCGGUGGCGAAGGCGACUACCUGGCCUGUUCUUGACGCUGAGGCGCGAAAGCUAGGGGAGCAAACGGG